GUGGUGCAUGGUUGUCGUCAGCUCGUGUCGUGAGAUGUUGGGUUAAGUCCCGCAACGAGCGCAACCCUUGUCUUUAGUUGCCAGCAUUAAGUUGGGCACUCUAGAGAGACUGCCAGGGAUAACCUGGCGGAAGGUGGGGAUGACGUCAAAUCAUCAUGCCCCUUAUGCUUAGGGCUACACACGUGCUACAAUGGGUAGUACAGAGGGUUGC
rnacentral:rRNA from 1 species